UAGAACCGAGAGGCUAGGAGAGAUAGGGAGAGAUCGGCGUCGCUCCUCCCGUCGGAAGUGAGACAAGAAGAGAUAGAGGGACAUCGGCGUCGCUCCUUCCGUCGAACUCCCAUCGAAAGGGAGACAAGGAGAGAUACAGAGAGACAGUGUCGCUCGUCCCGUCGAUCCCCCACCUCAUAAAACCCAAAUACUCUCUGAUCGAUCCCUUUGGUCUUCCCCACAUCGUCCAGGAUUCUGAUCGAUUCCUUCUUCCCAGGAACAACAGUUAACUCAAUCCCAACUAAGACAGGCUCUUCAUCAUCUUCGGAGACCAAUUCUGAUUCUCUUGAUGCUUAUAUUUGCAGCUGCUGUGUGUGGUACUGUGUCUUGGGUUACCGUCUAAUCGUGGCACUGUAUCUCGAGUAGCAUUGUCUUGGGUUGUCUCUAAAUGUUCUGGAGGUGCGUUGUCUUGGACUAUCUCCGAUGGUGUGGUAUCUUGAGGUGCAUUAACUAUAGUUGGAGAUGCCGUUAAGUUUGGAGGUGUAGUCUCUUGAGCUGUAUUUUUAUCCAAAAUACAGGUAUUUAUGUCAUUAUGCAUUCAUGU